UGUGAAAUCCCCGGGCUCAACCUGGGAACUGCAUUCGAAACUGGCAGGCUUGAGUCUUGUAGAGGGGGGUAGAAUUCCAGGUGUAGCGGUGAAAUGCGUAGAGAUCUGGAGGAAUACCGGUGGCGAAGGCGGCCCCCUGGACAAAGACUGACGCUCAGGUGCGAAAGCGUGGGGAGCAAACAGGAUUAGAUACCCUGGUAGUCCACGCCGUAAACGAUGUCUACUUGGAGGUUGUGCCCUUGAGGCGUGGCUUCCGGAGCUAACGCGUUAAGUAGACCGCCUGGGGAGUACGGCCGCAAGGUUAAAACUCAAAUGAAUUGACGGGGGCCCGCACAAGCGGUGGAGCAUGUGGUUUAAUUCGAUGCAACGCGAAGAACCUUAC
rnacentral:rRNA from 1 species